rnacentral:lncRNA from 1 species
CCCAGAUCUCCAGCAGAACAUAUUUGAGAGGGGACACAUUCCAACCUCUCAGUUUCUCAUUUGGUGGAACCUUUGGAUUGAUCCUCUUCCAUCUUCAUUUAGGAGUUCCUCUUUCUCUUCCCUCCAGGUAUUCAGGGUUCCUCUGGCUGGGUGAGGAUUUGGGCCCUCUUCUCUUUCCAGUCUAUACCCUCUUCCUCGUCAAUUGCACCUCCUUUCCUGUACCCUUGUUAUGCGAACAACUCCAAAAUGUGUGUUUCAAACUCAGAUCUCCCUUCUGAACUCUAGACCUUUAUAUCCAAUAAUUUACCUUGUAUACAUGAUACAUUGGCAUCUUCACAUGUUCUAAAGUAAACUUAGGAAAAGAAUAGGUGUUGGUGAGAACUGGGAGAAAUUGGAUCCUAUCUUGCUGGUCGGAAGAUAAAAUGGCUCAGCCACUGUGGGAAAAAUUUUGUUGGUUCCUCAAAAAGUUAAACACAGAAUUAACAUAUGACCUGGCACUUCCACUCCUAGGUAUGCACACAAAAGACUGAAAAGAGGAACUUGAACAAAUCCUUGUAUGAGAAUGUUCACAGCAGCACUAUCCACAGCAGCCAAAAGAUGGAAAUAAUCCAAAUGUCCAUCAACGGAUAAGUGAGAAAGACUGCAGGGGUAUACUUCAAAAUACUCAUAUGUCCAAGUGUUUCAAUUCUAGAGGCUUGCUGUCUUUGUCAUUUCAUAGCUCGCCUUGGGAAGCUUAAGGUACUGUGACCGAGCUUUCAUGGAAAUCAGGAAGAUUCUGAGAGAAUCCAAAUGUGACCAUCUGGGAGAGUUAAGAGAAGAAAAUACACCAUGUGGAGAGACAAGGACUGCCACUCCUGGAGUUCCAAAUGGACAGAAGGAGAGAGCUUCCUCGCAUCUUUGGGAAAAUCCUAUCUACAUAGCAUAAAUGCCCCAUACUCCACCCUGGAAGAGGCUAAUCAGGGGCACCUCCUCAUGGGUGCCAGAUAUUAGAAGAUUUUACAGGCUCCAUUGCGGCAGAAGGUAAUCAAAAAGGCCCAAGCCCCACCCUACAGAGAGCAGCAGCAUGACCUUAAACUGCCUUUGCUGGUCACUUGGAGAGGGAGGGUCCAUUUUCCUCAGUGGGCAACAAAGCCGCUGAUAAUCAGGUGCACACAUGACGUGGAUGUAACCUGCUGAGGAAGUGUCUGAUAUACCAAAGGAGCCAGGACUCACAACAAGCCUGGCCAGGAAAAAGAAGCCUCAGAGAACCCCAGAGCAGCCUCUACUUUGUAGAUGAUAUGAGUAAAUACAACGCAGACAGCCACUUAGCAAGUUCAGAGCCACUUCCAAACGACGCUGAGGGCCUGGUGUCAGCUCCUGCACAGCAGGCUCCAUUCUCUCCCCUUCAGGCUGUGUGCAUGUUCACUCCAGUGAGUCACAAAGACACAUUCCCAGGUGCGCACCUGGCCAAAAGCACAGAAGAGGAAGUCGCACAUGUGACCAUCCUCUGCCAACCAGCCCACGUGUACAGCAGAAAUCAGUAUUGUUUGCCUCUGUAAUAAAAUCAUUGCAUAAAUUUUGUAGAGCUUUGAAUCGGCCUCGUAAGUGUCACCAGGCAACUCUUCCAAGAAGGGUAGGGGGAUGGUGAGGUAGAGAACUCCAGGGACACAGAAAAGGACCAUGGUGUGUUUCUUGCAAAGCCCUUGUGCUGGAAAUGCUAUGAAGGCAAAAACUUUAUGCUGACCAUGAAACCCAAUCAAUAUAACACAAAAUUCAGGCCAGGUACAAUGGCUCACACCUGUAAUUCCAGCAUUUUGGGAAGCCAAGGCGGGCAGAUUGCUUUAGCUCAGGAGUUCGAGACAAGCCUGGGCAAACAUGGCGAAACCCCGUCUCUAUAGAAAAUACAAAAAAAGGCCAGGAGUAGUGGCUCAUGCCUGUAAUCCCAGCACUUUGGGAGGCCGAGGCAGGCAGAUCACCUGAGGUCAGGAGUUCAAGACUAGCCUGGCCAGCAUGGUGAAACCCUGUCUCUACUAAAAAAUACAAAAAUUAGCCAGGUGUAGUGGUGGGUACCUGUAAUCUCAGCUACUUGGGAGGCUGCGGCAGGAGAAUCGCUUGAACCUGGGAGUGGGAGGUUGCAGGGAGCCAAGAUCACACCACUGCACUCCAGCCUGGGCAACAAGAGUGAAACUCCAUCUAAAAAAAAGAAAAAAAAAGGAAAAGAAAAUACUAAAAAAUAGCCAGGUGUGGUGGUGCACGCCUGUGGUCCCAGCUACUUGGGAGGCUGAGGUGGGAGAAUCACUUGAGUCUGGGGUGCAGAGGCUGCAGUGAGCUGAGAUCAUGCCACUGCACUCCAGCCUGGGCAACAGAGCAAGACUGUGUCUCAAAAAAGAAAAAAAAUCCUCGAUAAAACUACAGAACCUUGCACUUGUAGCAACCAAUGCUUCCACUCCACACUGGAGUUCUCUCUGAAAGCAUUGCAAAAAUCCCUGUUAAGGUCAUGGGCCAAAACAUAAGGGAGACAAAACCACAAAGGGUGACAUCAGUUGCUUGUAAUGGUUUAGCUGCCAUGUGGUGGUAGCCAUAAGACGGCUGCUAAUCUGUAUCUU